rnacentral:rRNA from 1 species
GUUCGGAUUGCAGGCUGCAACUCGCCUGCAUGAAGCCGGAAUCGCUAGUAAUCGCGGGUCAGCAUACCGCGGUGAAUGUGUUCCUGAGCCUUGUACACACCGCCCGUCAAGCCACGAAAGUGGGGGGCCGACGAAGUCGCUGAGCUAACCCUCUGGGAGGUAAGCGCCGAAUCGGAACUCCGCGAUUGGGACUAAGUCGUAACAAGGUAGCCGUAGGGGAACCUGCGGCUGGAUCACCUCCUUUCUAAGGA